ACGAAGGGGGCUAGCGUUGCUCGGAAUCACUGGGCGUAAAGGGUGCGUAGGCGGGUCUUUAAGUCAGAGGUGAAAGCCUGGAGCUCAACUCCAGAACUGCCUUUGAUACUGAGGAUCUCGAGUUCGGGAGAGGUGAGUGGAAUUCCGAGUGUAGAGGUGAAAUUCGUAGAUAUUCGGAAGAACACCAGUGGCGAAGGCGGCUCACUGGACUGGUAUUGACGCUGAGGUGCGAAAGCGUGGGGAGCAAACAGUA
rnacentral:rRNA from 1 species